CUAAGUCAUCAAGGCACGAGAUCUCCGCAGGUAUUCGGCACGACCUAUCAUUAAUGCCUGAGACCCCCUCAGGCCUCCGAUGCACUCAGUCAUUAAAUGAACACGGCUCAAGAUGAUCUCCGGAUCACUGAACCAUCAAAGUGUAUGGCUCUCCCUGACCGCCGGUUCACUCAGCAAUCAAUGCGCCUGCCAUCUACGAACCCCAGGCCCACCACGGCCGGCG
rnacentral:lncRNA from 1 species